GUGCUUGCUUCAGCAGCACAUAUAUUAAAAUUGGAAAGAUACAGAGAAGAUUAGUAUGACUCCUGCACAAGGAUGACAUGCAAAUUUGUUAAACAUCCCAUAUUUUU